rnacentral:ncRNA from 1 species
AUAAUAUUUAAUUAUAGUAUAAAAAUUAUAUUUGUUAUAUUAUAUAUAUAUGAAUUUUGUUUUAAAUAUGAUUUUGGUAGUAUAUAAUUUUAAAUUUAAAAUAAUUUUUGAUUUAGAUAAUAAUUUAAAAAUUGACAAAGUUUGUGCCAGCAGUUGCGGUUAUACAAACAAUUUAAUAUAAUUUUUUUAGUUUAAAUUAAAUGAUAAUAUUUUUAAUUAAAAUUAGAUUUUUAAGGUGAAAUUUUAAAUUUAAUAAAUUAUUUUUUUUAUAAAUUGAUUUUAUAAAAUUAAAUUUUAAACUAGGAUUAGAUACCCUAUUAUUUUAAUUGUAAUUUUUUAAAUUAAAUGAUUAAUAGUUAAGUUCUUUAAAGUUAAAUAAUUUGGCGGUAUUUUAGUCUUUUCAGAGGAACCUGUCCUAUAAUUGAUAAUCCACGUUUAAAAAUACUUAAAUUAGAAAUUUAUAUAUCGUCGUGAAAAAUAUUUUUUUAGAAUUAAAUAUUUUUAAUUUAAAAUUUUAAAAUAAUUCAGAUCAAGGUAUAGUUUAUAUUUAAGAAGAGAUGGGUUACAAUAAAUUUAUUUUUGGAUAUUGAAUUUAAAAUUUGAUUGAAAAUGGAUUUGAAAGUAAUUAAAUUUAUAUUUUUUUAAUGAUUUAGCUCUAAAAUAUGUACAUAUCGCCCGUCGCUUUCGGUUUAAAGUGAAAUAAGUCGUAACAAAGUAGAUUUACUGGAAAGUGAAUCUAGAAGACA